UGAGGAAUAUUGGUCAAUGGGGGCAACCCUGAACCAGCCAAGUCGCGUGAAGGAUGAAGGUCUUAUGGAUUGUAAACUUCUUUUACACGGGAAUAAAGCGGGGGACGUGUCCCUCUUUGCAUGUACCGUGUGAAUAAGGAUCGGCUAACUCCGUGCCAGCAGCCGCGGUAAUACGGAGGAUCCGAGCGUUAUCCGGAUUUAUUGGGUUUAAAGGGUGCGCAGGCGGGAUGUUAAGUCGGCGGUGAAAUUUUGCAGCUCAACUGUAAAAGUGCCUUCGAUACUGGCCUUCUUGAGUGUGGAUGAAGUAGGCGGAAUUUGUGGUGUAGCGGUGAAAUGCUUAGAUAUCACGAAGAACUCCGAUUGCGAAGGCAGCUUACCGGGGUACAACUGACGCUGAUGCACGAAAGUGUGGGUAUCAAACA
rnacentral:rRNA from 1 species